GACGUAGGGGGCGAGCGUUGUCCGGAUUUAUUGGGCGUAAAGAGCGCGUAGGCGGCCCGGAAAGUCGGUAUGUGAAAACCCGAGGCUCAACCUCGGGCCUGCAUCCGAUACUCCCGGGCUAGAGGCAGGUAGGGGAGAGUGGAAUUCCCGGUGUAGCGGUGAAAUGCGCAGAUAUCGGGAGGAACACCGGUGGCGAAGGCGGCUCUCUGGGCCUGUCCUGACGCUCAGGCGCGAAAGCUAGGGGAGCAAACAGG
rnacentral:rRNA from 1 species